rnacentral:rRNA from 1 species
CCUUGAUGUGUAGGAUAGGUGGGAGGCUUUGAAGUGUGGACGCCAGUCUGCAUGGAGCCGACCUUGAAAUACCACCCUUUAAUGUUUGAUGUUCUAACGUGGACCCGUAAUCCGGGUUGCGGACAGUGUCUGGUGGGUAGUUUGACUGGGGCGGUCUCCUCCUAAAGAGUAACGGAGGAGCACGAAGGUUGGCUAAUCCUGGUCGGACAUCAGGAGGUUAGUGCAAUGGCAUAAGCCAGCUUGACUGCGAGCGUGACGGCGCGAGCAGGUGCGAAAGCAGGUCAUAGUGAUCCGGUGGUUCUGAAUGGAAGGGCCAUCGCUCAACGGAUAAAAGGUACUCCGGGGAUAACAGGCUGAUACCGCCCAAGAGUUCAUAUCGACGGCGGUGUUUGGCACCUCGAUGUCGGCUCAUCACAUCCUGGGGCUGAAGUAGGUCCCAAGGGUAUGGCUGUUCGCCAUUUAAAGUGGUACGCGAGCUGGGUUUAGAACGUCGUGAGACAGUUCGGUCCCUAUCUGCCGUGGGCGCUGGAGAACUGAGGGGGGCUGCUCCUAGUACGAGAGGACCGGAGUGGACGCAUCACUGGUGUUCGGGUUGUCAUGCCAAUGGCACUGCCCGGUAGCUAAAUGCGGAAGAGAUAAGUGCUGAAAGCAUCUAAGCACGAAACUUGCCCCGAGAUGAGUUCUCCCUGAGACUUAG